rnacentral:rRNA from 1 species
UACGUAGGCAGCAAGCGUUGUUCGGAGUUACUGGGCGUAAAGGGUGUGUAGGCGGUUAUUUAAGUUUGGUGUGAAAUCUUCCGGCUCAACCGGGAGGGUGCGCCGAAUACUGAAUGACCUCGAGUGCGGGAGAGGAAAGUGGAAUUCCUGGUGUAGCGGUGAAAUGCGUAGAUAUCAGGAGGAACACCGGUGGUGUAGACGGCUUUCUGGACCGUAACUGACGCUGAGACGCGAAAGCGUGGGUAGCAAACAGG